GAUGAACGCUGGCGGCGUGCCUAAUACAUGCAAGUCGAGCGAACAGACGAGGAGCUUGCUCCUCUGACGUUAGCGGCGGACGGGUGAGUAACACGUGGAUAACCUACCUAUAAGACUGGGAUAACUUCGGGAAACCGGAGCUAAUACCGGAUAAUAUAUUGAACCGCAUGGUUCAAUAGUGAAAGACGGUUUUGCUGUCACUUAUAGAUGGAUCCGCGCCGCAUUAGCUAGUUGGUAAGGUAACGGCUUACCAAGGCAACGAUGCGUAGCCGACCUGAGAGGGGGAUCGGCCACACUGGAACUGAGAAACGGUCCAGACUCCUACGGGAGGCAGCAGUAGGGAAUCUUCCGCAAAGGGCGAAAGCCUGACGGAGCAACGCCGCGUGAGUGAUGAAGGUCUUCGGAUCGUAAAACUCUGUUAUUAGGGAAGAACAAAUGUGUAAGUAACUAUGCACGUCUUGACGGUACCUAAUCAGAAAGCCACGGCUAACUACGUG
rnacentral:rRNA from 1 species